CGAACGCUGGCGGCGUGCUUAACACAUGCAAGUCGAACGGAAAGGCCCUGCUUUUGUGGGUGCUCGAGUGGCGAACGGGUGAGUAACACGUGAGUAACCUGCCCUUGACUUUGGGAUAACUUCAGGAAACUGGGGCUAAUACCGGAUAGGAGCUCCUGCUGCAUGGUGGGGGUUGGAAAGUUUCGGCGGUUGGGGAUGGACUCGCGGCUUAUCAGCUUGUUGGUGGGGUAGUGGCUUACCAAGGCUUUGACGGGUAGCCGGCCUGAGAGGGUGACCGGCCACAUUGGGACUGAGAUACGGCCCAGACUCCUACGGGAGGCAGAAGUGGGGAAUAUUGCACAAUGGGCGGAAGCCUGAUGCAGCAACGCCGCGUGCGGGAUGACGGCCUUCGGGUUGUAAACCGCUUUCGCCUGUGACGAAGCGUGAGUGACGGUAAUGGGUAAAGAAGCACCGGCUAACUACGUG
rnacentral:rRNA from 1 species